rnacentral:rRNA from 1 species
AACGAACGCUGACGGCAGGCUUAACACAUGCAAGUCGAACGGACGUAGCAAUACGUUAGUGGCAGACGGGUGAGUAACGCGUGGGAAUGUGCCCUUUAGUUCGGAAUAACACAGAGAAAUUUGUGCUAAUACCGGAUAAGCCCGAGAGGGGAAAGAUUUAUCGCUGAAGGAGCAGCCCGCGUCUGAUUAGCUAGUUGGUGAGGUAAUGGCUCACCAAGGCGACGAUCAGUAGCUGGUCUGAGAGGAUGAUCAGCCACACUGGGACUGAGACACGGCCCAGACUCCUACGGGAGGCAGCAGUGGGGAAUAUUGGACAAUGGGGGCAACCCUGAUCCAGCCACGCCGCGUGAGUGAUGAAGGCCUUAGGGUUGUAAAACUCUUUUGUCCGGGAAGAUAAUGACUGUACCGGAAGAAUAAGCCCCGGCUAACUUCGUGCCAGCAGCCGCCGUAA